GAUGAACGCUGGCGGCGUGCCUAAUACAUGCAAGUCGAGCGAACAGACGAGGAGCUUGCUCCUCUGACGUUAGCGGCGGACGGGUGAGUAACACGUGGAUAACCUACCUAUAAGACUGGGAUAACUUCGGGAAACCUGAGCUAAUACCGGAUAAUAUAUUGAACCGCAUGGUUCAAUAGUGAAAGACGGUUUUGCUGUCACUUAUAGGUGGAUCCGCGCCGCAUUAGCUAGUUGGUAAGGUAACGGCUUACCAAGGCAACGAUGCGUAGCCGACCUGAGAGGGUGAUCGGCCACACUGGAACUGAGACACGGUCCAGACUCCUACGGGAGGCAGCAGUAGGGAAUCUUCCGCAAUGGGCGAAAGCCUGACGGAGCAACGCCGCGUGAGUGAUGAAGGUCUUCGGAUCGUAAAACUCUGUUAUUAGGGAAGAACAAAUGUGUAAGUAACUAUGCACGUCUUGACGGUACCUAAUCAGAAAGCCACGGCUAACUACGUG
rnacentral:rRNA from 1 species